AUGGAAUAUUAUCCAGCCUUAAAAAGGAGUAAAAUCCUGAUACAUACUGCAGCAUGGAUGGAACUUGAAGACAUGAUGCUAAGUGAAGUAAGUCAGGCACAAAAGGACAGUUUUUUAUGAUUCCACUUAUAUAUGAUAACCAGAAUAGAUAAAUUUACAGAUACAAAAGUAGUUUAGAGGCUUCCAGGGGCUGGAGGGAGGGGGAAAUGAGUUCUUGUUUGACGGGUAUAGAAUUUCUGUUUGGGAUGAUGAAUGAGCUCUAGAAGUGGAUAGUGGUGACAGUUGUACGACACUGUGAAUACACUUAAUGCCACUGAGUUGUACACUUAAAAUGGUAAAUUUUAUGUUAUGUAUAUUUUACUACAGUGCAAAAAAUUUAAGGAAAAAAGCAAACUACACAGUAACCCCACUCUUAUUCAACUCUUUCUUGUAAAAGGAGACUCUUCUUAAAGCACAAGCGAUCUUAACCUGUGACCCAUGUCCUGGCUUUGCCUGGGUUGCUGCCUCCACUUGAAAAUGGCUUCAUGAAGGCUCCGGUGACCAAAGCCAACUCUGAGGUUGAGACCCGGACUGCCAAGUCACUGUCUUUAAGGAAGAGAUGGAAGACACACAUCCUUGGCAAGGGAGAGGAAAGAGCUUUUUUGCUGUUUGUUGGAAUGCUAAAUAUCUAAGAAAUGAGGGGAUGGUUCUACGUAUCUUGAUUAUCCUAAGACAACUUAGGAGACUGGCACAAGGAAGGGGACAGGGCACCAGAAUUUGAGCUUGGUAUAUUUUUGAAGAAGACACAAGUUUUAUGUGGACAACUAUGGUAUUGACACAAAGAAAAAUGGUGUUCAUGGAGGUAAUGAGGUCAUUAACAAGUGGUAAUGUGAAAGGACUGUUCUUGGACACUUUUGCACUCUCAUUCAGCAAUUGUUAGCAAAAGUACCACAUAUAUAAGAUAAAAGAAAGCAAGAAAGAAAAAGUAUUUGUUUUAUUUGUUUUGCUUUUUUCCUGUUACUGUUGAGUCAAUGUGGGAUGGUUUAAAGUACAUGAGCCUUAGUGUCAAACAAGCCUCAAAUUAGUCAAUGAGGACUUUCGGUUGCAAGAAAGAAACUGGAUUCAAAUCAGCUAGAGGGGAAAAAAAUUCCAACAGAUGUCUUCAGGCAUAGCUGUAUCCAGGUGCCCAAAUGAUAGUGUUAGGAAUCUGUUGUGUUUUUUUUAUCUCUUGGUUCCGCCCUUAUAGGCCCACAAGGUGACAAAGAAUCUUUCCAGUACCUCUAGGCUUAUAUUCUACCAGUUUAACAACCUCAUUAGAAAGAAAUCUUCCUUCUCAACAAAAAAAUAUCAGGAUUAACUCUGACUGGCCUGGCUUGGGGCACGUAUUUAUCCCCAGACUUGGGAAUGGUGUUAAACCCAUCCAAACCUCACAGACUGAAAAAGGGAUAGAUGCUGUUUCCGGAAUAAAAAGGAAUGGUUGCUGGGCAGACAAAAACAAUUGGUGUCACUCCCUGUGCAUAAAUGUAUGCCUGUGGGAGGGAGGGUUUAUGGGUUAUGUGCCACUUUGCUGAUUUGUCACCACCUAGUGAGUCAGUCUGGUGUGGUGGAAUGUGUGUGCUCUGAACUCAGCAGACCUGAGUCAAAACUCUGGUCUUCACUAGCUGUGUGGCCUCGGGCAACUCACUUAAAAGUAAUUGUGCUAAUAACUACCAUGUUUUGAAUGCUAGACAUGUGCUAGGUGCUACGUAUAUUAUCUCAUUUACUUCACAGCUCUGCAAAGUAGUUAUUAUUGUCUCCUUGCUACAGAUGAGGAAGCUGAAGACCAGACAGAUUCCGUGACCUGCCCAAGGUCACUAAGCUGGUAAGGGACACUCCAACCCGGGACUCUCUGACUCAGAGCAGUUUCUCUCGGCCUCAUUCUCUUUGCCUGCAAAAUGAGUAUUAGACGGAGAGAAGGAAAUGGAGGAAGAAGAGGAGGGUAAGGAGAAACACCGUAACAGUAAACUGCCCACAAGGUAUUAGGUAUGCAACAAAUCUAGUUCCUUCAUCUGUUCUUCCACUCGCCUCUUUCUUUACUUCCUUUUUGCAUCUUUUUCAUGUUUCAGACACUUUCUAAGGUUCUAGCUUUCUUCCUUCCUCGCAUUCAUCCAUUCCUCCCUUUUUUCCUUCCUUCCUUCCCCCGCCUCCUUUUUUUUUUUUUCCUCUUUUCAAAGUCUCUCCCUGGUCCAAGGUGAUGUUUCUGGAUCAUAAUGGGGGCAGGAUAAACCCUGGGACUUUAUUCAUGUUUAAAGCACUCACCCUCUUAAAUGCGACUGCCGCCCACAGGAACCCCCACCACGGCCCCCAAUUCAGCAUCCAGCUUGACCGAGAUCACAUCCCAGCCUGCUGGACAGGGGGAAACCAAGGCAAAUGGGAUUCCUUCCACCCCCGCCUCCUGCCUCUGUGCCCGCUGCCCUCUGCUAGCAGUUCUGUGUGUUCCGCCUGACUCCCCACUCCGGCUGAGGUCGGGCAGUCGCAGGGGCAUCUUCCCGACACAGUUCUGGCCUCACCCGCCUCCUGCCUGGCCGGGGAGCCCGCCCAGGGACCUGAAGGAAGGCAGGGGCGUGAGCGCCGGGCUGAGCCGUGGAGGGGUUUGGAGAUAAGCAUCUUCCACCGUGGACGUGUCAUAACUAGAAAUCCAGAGGAGUUGACAUUCAGAAGGCAGAGCCAGGCUUUACCCAGAUCCCGGGCUGGAGGGCGAGACUUAGAACAUAGUCUUGCCGAGGGAGAGGAACUUGGCAAACAGUGAACCGGUAGCUCCUUAAUAACCAUUUUUCUAGAACAUUCUGGCCUUGGGAACAGGAAGGCCACACAGGUGACAGAACCACCACCUCACGCACACUGCCCCCAACUGCUCCACAUGGGGAGGGGGCAGCAGGCUCCCACCACCCGGGGGGCCACUGCAGUUGGGUUCAGGAGGGUCUCCCUUCUUGGGGCAGCAUCCCAAGAAGCAGAAACUGCCUCCUGUUCACCCCCUGCCCAACCCAGGGCAUAACAUUAAGAAAAUUCUGGAAAGCUUUUGAGUGAUAAGUAGGGCAUUGUGGCCAGAGAGGAAGAGGGCACAGUGGUGAUGAGUUCACACUUAAGUCCCACCCAACCCUGAGAAAGAGUUUGAAUAAUACCCAUUUUAGAGAUAGGGAAACUGGGACUCAAGGAGGUUGGUUACCAGGGAGGCACAAUGUCUACUAAGUCAUCUGUCUUAUUUCAGGCACUUGAGUCACCCCCUAGAUGCCUGGUACCUGGGCACUCUGAUUCCCCCACCCAGUUCUUCUCAAACUGUAAUGGGCACACCGAUUCCUGGGAGCUUGUUAAAAUGCAAAUUCUGAUUCAGCAGUUCCAGGACGGGCCUGAAAUCCUGCAUUUCUGACAAGCUCCCAGGUGAGUUGGCUGCUGCUGCUGCUGCUGGUCGGGGGCCACACUUCGAACAGCGAGGCUCCAGUUUCAGGCUCUUCCUGGUGGAUUUGGGACAGCACACACUUAAAUUCCCCACGCAGGCAGCAGUGGUGGGUGGUCUAAAGUACACUGUCUGAAUUGAGUUGUGUAUAAGUAUAAAAAAAUACACACCAGAUUUUAAACACUUUGUAAGAACAAAAGAAUAUAAAAUAUCUC